rnacentral:rRNA from 1 species
UACGGAGGAGGCAAGCGUUAUCCGGAAUUAUUGGGCGUAAAGCGUCCGUAGGUGGCUAGUCAAGUCUGCGGUCAAAGACUGGGGCUUAACCCUGGAAAGGCCGUGGAAACUGACGAGCUAGAGUGCAGUAGGGGUAGAGGGAAUUCCCGGUGUAGCGGUGAAAUGCGUAGAGAUCCGGAGGAAUACCAGUGGCGAAGGCGGCUUGCUGGGUCUAGACUGACACUCAGACGCGAAAGCAUGGGGAGCGAACGGG